GCAGCCGCCACGGUAAUACAGAGGGUGCGAGCGUUAAUCGGAUUUACUGGGCGUAAAGCGUGCGUAGGCGGCUUCUUAAGUCGGAUGUGAAAUCCCUGAGCUUAACUUAGGAAUUGCAUUCGAUACUGGGAAGCUAGAGUAUGGGAGAGGAUGGUAGAAUUCCAGGUGUAGCGGUGAAAUGCGUAGAGAUCUGGAGGAAUACCGAUGGCGAAGGCAGCCAUCUGGCCUAAUACUGACGCUGAGGUACGAAAGCAUGGGGAGCAAACAGGAUUAGAUACCCCUGUAGUCCCUGUCUCUUAUAA
rnacentral:rRNA from 1 species